rnacentral:antisense_RNA from 1 species
AAUAGCCAAAAAUCACGCCUGAGUUCCAAGUGGGGUGAGAAAUUACCCGCACUUCACCCACCGUAGAAUCGUACAAGCCGCCAAAAAACAUGGCUUUGGCAACCAGUAAACCGGCUCCUAGUCCUAGUAACACUAGAUGAAUGCCGAGAAUUGUAGUCAUUUUAUUAGCAUCUUCCCA